rnacentral:rRNA from 1 species
AUUGAACGCUGGCGGCAUGCUUUACACAUGCAAGUCGAACGGCAGCACGGGCUUCGGCCUGGUGGCGAGUGGCGAACGGGUGAGUAAUAUAUCGGAACGUACCCAAGAGUGGGGGAUAACGUAGCGAAAGUUACGCUAAUACCGCAUACGAUCUAAGGAUGAAAGUGGGGGAUCGCAAGACCUCAUGCUCCUGGAGCGGCCGAUAUCUGAUUAGCUAGUUGGUGAGGUAAAGGCUCACCAAGGCGACGAUCAGUAGCUGGUCUGAGAGGACGACCAGCCACACUGGAACUGAGACACGGUCCAGACUCCUACGGGAGGCAGCAGUGGGGAAUUUUGGACAAUGGGCGCAAGCCUGAUCCAGCAAUGCCGCGUGAGUGAAGAAGGCCUUCGGGUUGUAAAGCUCUUUUGUCAGGGAAGAAACGGUGGGAGCUAAUAUCUCCUACUAAUGACGGUACCUGAAGAAUAAGCACCGGCUAACUACGUGCCAGCAGCCGCGGUAAUACGUAGGGUGCAAGCGUUAAUCGGAAUUACUGGGCGUAAAGCGUGCGCAGGCGGUUUUGUAAGUCUGACGUGAAAGCCCCGGGCUCAACCUGGGAAUUGCGUUGGAGACUGCAAGGCUUGAAUCUGGCAGAGGGGGGUAGAAUUCCACGUGUAGCAGUGAAAUGCGUAGAGAUGUGGAGGAACACCGAUGGCGAAGGCAGCCCCCUGGGUCAAGAUUGACGCUCAUGCACGAAAGCGUGGGGAGCAAACAGG